rnacentral:ncRNA from 1 species
AAUGUUGGAUUAACAAAAUAGUUCAACUAAAACCUCGUGAAAACGGUGGAACUCUUAGAAAAGACAAUACCGUGCCAAGACUAGAAAUAGUAAGGUGUAACGACUAUCGAAAGCACAUAAUAAAUGUUAUGAAAGUGAGUAGAGUACAAUCAAGUGAUUGGAAGUGCGAGGGAACGAUUAUAUCGUUCAAGAGAUAGUCUACUCUUUAUAGUGAUAUAAAG